rnacentral:misc_RNA from 1 species
AACGCACCUUGCGCUCCUUGGUAUUCCGAGGAGCAUGCCUGUUUGAGUGUCAUUAAUAUAUCAACCUCUUCAGCUUUUGCUUGUUGAGUGUUGGAUGUGGGGGUCUUUUUGCUGGCCUUCUAAGGUCAGCUCCCCUGAAAUGCAUUAGCAGAACAAAUUGUGGAUCGUUCAUUGGUGUGAUAACUAUCUACGCUAUUGACGUGAAGCAGUUCAGCUUCUAACAGUCCAUUGACUUGGACAAAUUUUCAUUAAUGUGACCUCAAAUCAGGUAGGACUACCCGCUGAACUUAA